GUCUAGUAUAAGCAUUAUACCGUGAAACUGCGAAUGGCUCAUUAAAUCAGUUAUCGUUUAUUUGAUAAUACCUUACUACUUGGAUAACCGUGGUAAUUCUAGAGCUAAUACAUGCUGAAAAUCCCGACUUCGGAAGGGAUGUGUUUAUUAGAUAAAAAACCAAUGCCCUUCGGGGCUUUUUGGUGAUUCAUGAUAACUUUACGGAUCGCAUAGCCUUGCGCUGGCGACGGUUCAUUCAAAUUUCUGCCCUAUCAACUUUCGAUGGUAAGGUAUUGGCUUACCAUGGUUUCAACGGGUAACGGGGAAUUAGGGUUCGAUUCCGGAGAGGGAGCCUGAGAAACGGCUACCACAUCCAAGGAAGGCAGCAGGCGCGCAAAUUACCCAAUCCCGACACGGGGAGGUAGUGACAAUAAAUACUGAUACAGGGCUCUUUUGGGUCUUGUAAUUGGAAUGAGUACAAUUUAAACCUCUUAACGAGGAACAAUUGGAGGGCAAGUCUGGCAGAC
rnacentral:rRNA from 1 species